GACGAACGCUGGCGGCGUGCUUAACACAUGCAAGUCGAGCGGAAAGGCCCUUUCGGGGGUACUCGAGCGGCGAACGGGUGAGUAACACGUGAGUAAUCUGCCCUGUGCUUUGGGAUAGCCACCGGAAACGGUGAUUAAUACCGGAUACGACCAACCUACGCAUCUGGUGUUGGUGGAAAGUUUUUCGGCGCAGGAUGUGCUCGCGGCCGAUCAGCUUGUUGGUGGGGUAAUGGCCUAACAAGGCUUCGAGGGGUAGCCGGCCUGAGCGGGGGAACGGCCACAUGGGGACGGAGACACGGCCCAGCCUCGUACGGGAGGCAGUAGUGGGGAAGGUUGGACAAUGGGCGUAAGCCUGAGCCAGCAGCGCCGCGUGAGGGAUGACGGCCUUCGGGUUGUAAACCUCUUUCAGCACCGACGAAGCGAGAGUGACGGUAGGUGCAGAAGAAGGACCGGCCAACUACGUGCCAGCCGCCGCCGUAAAAC
rnacentral:rRNA from 1 species